AAGCCUCAUGCUGAAAAACAAAAAACCCUCACUCGCCGAAACCUAAAUUAGCAAUCUGACCUCCUAACUCGUGAUCUCCUUUCACGCGAACUCCCUUCGCCGAAACCACUGACCCUAAGCUCCGUCUCCGUCUUCGUCAACUUCUUGAUCCCAGCACAAGCGCAGGAGGAGGAAAACCAAUGUUUCCGCCCCCUUCCUCAUUCGUCUCCAUCCUUGCUCAUCUUUGGGUACAAGUAAGUGAUUGAGCGCAAAGUUGCCUCCUUGGUAGGUUUCAGGAUUGGCUCCCCCUUUGGCUGUGCAAGAUUUUUUUUAGGGCAAGAGGGAGGUGCACAUGAGAGUAGAAGAUCAUGGAGUUCUGGACGGAGUUCUUGGUGAAUAGUGGGGCGGGCAUCAACGGCAUGGUCAGGGUCACCUUCAGCUAUCCACUCGACACGCUCCGUAUCCGCCUGCAAUAGCCACCGCCAACUCUCGCUUCCUCAAAUUCCUUCGCCCUUGCCCAAUGAUCCAUCUUGGGCAUCGACCUCCUUUGUAGAAUCGUCGCUCAGGAGGGCCUCACCAUGCUUUACCGUGGUAUGGUCGCGAUGCUCACCUCCGUUUCAGGCCAAAACAACAAAGAAGAUUGUGUUGACACUUCAAUGCCAGAGCUGUAAGCAUUAUUCACGUCAUCCAAUAAAAAGAUGCAAGCACUUUGAGAUUGGAGGAGACAAAAAGGGCAAGGGAACUUCUCUCUUCUUGUUUGUUUUUUUCCCAAAUUUUAGGAGCAGCAACUACAUGCUAUGUGGCACUGCAUCCGAACCUCAGGAGUGUGACUGGAAAGUACUUCGACGAAGAACUAUCAAGAAGGCUUUGGGAUUUAAGCAAGAAGAUGGUUAAAGCCAAUGAGUAAAGAACAUUCAAGUUAAGAGGAUAAGUAGCAUCUAUCAAGAUCCUUUAAGUUCAUGUAAUAAGAUGUAGUUGAUAGGAUUAGUUUUGAGUAUCUUCUAAUUAAAAUUUCUUUGUAUGCGAGUAAUUAUGUUUGUUAUAGAAGUGUAAGGAUGAUAAUUUAUAUAUUUAUCUCAGUUGUUAUUUUAUAA